UUACGGGAGGCAGCAGUGAGGAAUUUUGCGCAAUGGCCGCAAGGCUGACGCAGCAACGCCGCGUGGGUGAAGAAGGCCUUCGGGUCGUAAAGCCCUGUCAGGUGGGAAGAAUGACGGAGGGAUGAAUAAGCCUUCCGUGUGACGGUACCACCAGAGGAAGCACCGGCUAACUCCGUGCCAGCAGCCGCGGUAAUACGGAGGGUGCAAGCGUUAUUCGGAAUUACUGGGCGUAAAGCGCGUGCAGGCGGGCGGACAAGUCUGAUGUGAAAGCCCCGGGCUUAACCUGGGAAGUGCAUUGGAUACUGUUCGUCUUGAGUUGCGGAGAGGAAGGGGGAAUUCCCGGUGUAGAGGUGAAAUUCGUAGAGAUCGGGAGGAAUACCAGUGGCGAAGGCGCCCUUCUGGACGACAACUGACGCUGAGACGCGAAAGCGUGGGGAGCAAACAGGAUUAGAUACCCCGGU
rnacentral:rRNA from 1 species